GACAGAGGGUGCAAACGUUGUUCGGAAUUACUGGGCGUAAAGCGCACGUAGGCGGAUAUUUAAGUCAGGGGUGAAAUCCCAGAGCUCAACUCUGGAACUGCCUUUGAUACUGGGUAUCUUGAGUAUGGAAGAGGUAAGUGGAAUUGCGAGUGUAGAGGUGAAAUUCGUAGAUAUUCGCAGGAACACCAGUGGCGAAGGCGGCUCACUGGCCCGAUACUGACGCUGAGGCACGAAAGCGUGGGGAGCAACAGG
rnacentral:rRNA from 1 species